UACGAAGGGGGCUAGCGUUGCUCGGAAUCACUGGGCGUAAAGCGCACGUAGGCGGCUUCUUAAGUCAGGGGUGAAAUCCUGGAGCUCAACUCCAGAACUGCCUUUGAUACUGGCGAUCUCGAGUCCGGGAGAGGUGAGUGGAACUGCGAGUGUAGAGGUGAAAUUCGUAGAUAUUCGCAAGAACACCAGUGGCGAAGGCGGCUCACUGGCCCGGUACUGACGCUGAGGUGCGAAAGCGUGGGGAGCAAACAGGGAUUAAGAAACCCGGGU
rnacentral:rRNA from 1 species